rnacentral:rRNA from 1 species
ACGGCUCAGUAACACGUGGACAACCUACCCUCAGCACGGGGAUAAACCCGGGAAACUGGGUAUAAUACCCGAUAGUUCUGGGAUGCUGGAAUGCUUCCAGGACGAAAGCUCCGGCGACUGAGGAUGGGUCUGCGGCCUAUCAGGUAGUAGUGGGUGUAAUGUACCUACUAGCCUACGACGGGUACGGGUCGUGAGAGCGAGAGCCCGGAGAUGGAUUCUGAGACACGAAUCCAGGCCCUACGGGGUGCAGCAGGCGCGAAAACUUUACAAUGCUGGCAACAGCGAUAAGGGGACCUCGAGUGCCAGGAUACAAUCUUGGCUGUCGUAAUGCCUAAAAAGCAUUGCAUAGCAAGGGCCGGGCAAGACCGGUGCCAGCCGCCGCGGUAACACCGGCGGCUCGAGUGGUAACCGCUAUUAUUGGGUCUAAAGGGUCUGUAGCCGGCCGGAUAAGUCUCUCGGGAAAUCCAGCUGCUCAACAGUUGGGCUUUCAGGAGAUACUGUUCGGCUCGAGGCCGGGAGAGGUGAGAGGUACUUCAGGGGUAGGGGUGAAAUCUUGUAAUCCUUGAAGGACCACCAGUGGCGAAGGCGUCUCACCAGAACGGUCCUGACGGCAAGGGACGAAAGCUAGGGGCACGAACCGGAUUAGAUACCCGGGUAGUCCUAGCCGUAAACGAUACUCGCUAGGUGUCAGCCACGGUGCGACCGUGGUUGGUGCCGUAGGGAAGCCGUGAAGCGAGCCACCUGGGAAGUACGGCCGCAAGGCUGAAACUUAAAGGAAUUGGCGGGGGAGCAC